UUGGUGGUGGAUACGCUCCACCAGGCCAUAUCAUGGGCACUGAGGGUAUUGCCACUGAUGACUGCAGGUCUCACGGAGCACAUGAGGAAUUGGCCAUGACGAGUCGACGAACACCGUCGGUGAUGAAGAGUUCGAUCGUAGCUCUGUUGUAAGGAAGACGAGUGAGAGUGGAAAGUCACAUGUGACGAUCUAACAAAGGACGGCUACUACGUCAGCAGGCGCGGUAAUACGUAGUCCCGAGCGUUGUCUGAUUAUUGGGCGUAAAGCGAGCGCAGCGGUAGAUAAGUCUAAGUAAAGCUGUGGCUUACCAUAGUACGCUUGGAACUGUUAACUUGAGUGCAGAGGGAGAGUGGAAUUCCAUGUGUAGCGGUGAAAUGCGUAGAUAUAUGGAGGAACACCGGUGGCGAAAGCGGCUCUCUGGCUUGUAACUGACGCUGAGGCUCGAAAGCGUGGGGAGCAAACAGGAUUAGAUACCGUGGUAGUCCACGCCGUAAACGAUGAGUGCUAGGUGUUAGACCCUUUCCGGGGUUUAGUGCCGUAGCUAACGCAUUAAGCACUCCGCGUGGGGAGUACGACCGCAAGGUUGAAACUCAAAGGAAUUGACGGGGGCCCGCACAAGCGGUGGAGCAUGUGGUUUAAUUCGAAGCAACGCGAAGAACCUUACCAGGUCUUGACAUCCCUCUGACCGCUCUAGAGAUAGAGUUUUCCUUCGGGACAGAGGUGACAGGUGGUGCAUGGUUGUCGUCAGCUCGUGUCGUGAGAUGUUGGGUUAAGUCCCGCAACGAGCGCAACCCCUAUUGUUAGUUGCCAUCAUUUAGUUGGGCACUCUAGCGAGACUGCCGGUAAUAAACCGGAGGAAGGUGGGGAUGACGUCAAAUCAUCAUGCCCCUUAUGACCUGGGCUACACACGUGCUACAAUGGCUGGUACAACGAGUCGCAAGCCGGUGACGGCAAGCUAAUCUCUUAAAGCCAGUCUCAGUUCGGAUUGUAGGCUGCAACUCGCCUACAUGAAGUCGGAAUCGCUAGUAAUCGCGGAUCAGCACGCCGCGGUGAAUACGUUCCCGGGCCUUGUACACACCGCCCGUCACACCACGAGAGUUUGUAACACCCGAAGUCGGUGAGGUAACCUUUUAGGAGCCAGCCGCCUAAGGUGGGAUAGAUGAUUGGGGUGAAGUCGUAACAAGGUAGCCGUAUCGGAAGGUGCGGUUGGAUCACCUCC
rnacentral:rRNA from 1 species